UGCAGUCGAGCGGAUGAAGGGAGCUUGCUCCUGGAUUCGGCGGCGGACGGGUGAGUAAUGCCUAGGAAUCUGCCUGGUAGUGGGGGAUAACGUCCGGAAACGGGCGCUAAUACCGCAUACGUCCUGAGGGAGAAAGUGGGGGAUCUUCGGACCUCACGCUAUCAGAUGAGCCUAGGUCGGAUUAACUAGUUGGUGGGGUAAAGGCCUACCAAGGCGACGAUCCGUAACUGGUCUGAGAGGAUGAUCAGUCACACUGGAACUGAGACACGGUCCAGACUCCUACGGGAGGCAGCAGUGGGGAAUAUUGGACAAUGGGCGAAAGCCUGAUCCAGCCAUGCCGCGUGUGUGAAGAAGGUCUUCGGAUUGUAAAGCACUUUAAGUUGGGAGGAAGGGCAGUAAGUUAAUACCUUGCUGUUUUGACGUUACCAACAGAAUAAGCACCGGCUAACUUCGUGCCAGCAGCCGCGGUAAUACGAAGGGUGCAAGCGUUAAUCGGAAUUACUGGGCGUAAAGCGCGCGUAGGUGGUUCAGCAAGUUGGAUGUGAAAUCCCCGGGCUCAACCUGGGAACUGCAUCCAAAACUACUGAGCUAGAGUACGGUAGAGGGUGGUGGAAUUUCCUGUGUAGCGGUGAAAUGCGUAGAUAUAGGAAGGAACACCAGUGGCGAAGGCGACCACCUGGCACUGAUACUGACACUGAUGUGCGA
rnacentral:rRNA from 1 species